rnacentral:rRNA from 1 species
CGUUCCCGGGCCUUGUACACACCGCCCGUCACACUAUGGGAGUUGGUUUUACCCGAAGCCGGUGGGCUAACCGCAAGGAGGCAGCCGACCACGGUAAGGUCAGCGACUGGGGUG